CAGCAGCAGGGAAUUUUGUCCAAUGGGCGCAAGCCUGAGACAGCGACGCCGCGUGAGCGACGAAGGCCUUCGGGUCGUAAAGCUCUGUCAUGGGGGACGAACGUCCUGGUGGUCAACAGCCACUGGGAGUGACGGUACCCCAGGAGGAAGCCCCGGCUAACUACGUG
rnacentral:rRNA from 1 species